rnacentral:sRNA from 1 species
GCCAAGUGUGGUGGUGCACUCCUGUAAUCCCAGCAAUUUGGGAGGCUGAGGCAGGAGGAUCGCAAGUUCAAGGUCAGUCUCAGCAAUUUAGUGAGGUCCUAAGCAACUUAGCGAGACUCUGUCUCCA